CCUACGGGAGGCAGCAGUGAGGAAUAUUGGUCAAUGGACGCAAGUCUGAACCAGCCACGUCGCGUGAAGGAAGACGGCCCUACGGGUUGUAAACUUCUUUUGUAAGGGAAUAAAGUGGGCCACGUGUGGCUUUUUGCAUGUACCUUACGAAUAAGGAUCGGCUAACUCCGUGCCAGCAGCCGCGGUAAUACGGAGGAUCCGAGCGUUAUCCGGAUUUAUUGGGUUUAAAGGGUGCUCAGGCGGGCCAUUAAGUCGGCGGUGAAAUUUUGCGGCUCAACCGUAAAAGUGCCUUCGAAACUGGUGGCCUUGAGUGUGGAUGAGGUAGGCGGAAUUUGUGGUGUAGCGGUGAAAUGCAUAGAUAUCACGAGGAACUCCGAUUGCGCAGGCAGCUUACUAAGCCAUAACUGACGCUCAAGCACGAAGGCGUGGGGAUCAAACA
rnacentral:rRNA from 1 species